UGAGCGUCUUCUUCUACGCCGGAAGUGCUGUACCGUGAAAAGGAAAGAGAUGUUCUGACAGUUCCUCGUUGCUAGGCACCGAAUUCUGGACACCAGAUGGUGGUUGGGACCGUACCUGUGGAUGGUUGGCAGCAGGGGUUUCCAAGCUGCUUUGCCCAGGCAGCAUUUUACUGAGCAUUCCCUGAAUCAGAAGAGCGACUGGGAGACAGCCACAGCAGAUACACUGCAGACUUUGUGACGUUCCCGAUGACAGGUGUGAAGCCCAAACGCUUUUCCUGGCAGCACAGGAAUUCAAGUUGGCCCACUACUGCAGAUGAUUUAUAAAGAAACCUCAUGGUAGUUUGGUUUUAUAGCCUGAAUGGCUGCCUGCUGUCGUUCAAGGAUCAAAGGCCCAGAGCUGUCUGGAGUUUACAGUAGCAGAGGAAGUGCCUCACGGGCAGGCACACUAAACAUGCUGACACAAGAGGAAAAGUCAGGGGAUCACCAGCAAUAUUCGGCUUUCUUCUCUGAGGGCCAUGACUGACUGUGCAAAAUUUCAGGGCAGUCCAUCUGAUGAUGGUGGUGGACCUACUGAGUGAGUGCAGACUGAUGUAGCCAUUUCCCUGAAGCCCAAUCCCAGUCUGACUAAGAAUAUUACAAUGCAGACUGAAACUAUACUUUUUGAGCCAUCUGGACAUUUAUAGUUCAUUUUAAUUUAAGCUGUGAACAGAGCAAGAACAAGAACAAGCUUAUUUUGCUUUAACUUAUUAUUGUGAAGAAAAUGGUGAGUGCACAAAGUAAUGGCUGUAAAAUAAUGACACUGUCAAUGUUUAGAUUGGUUCCCUUUAAACCUCACUGUCACUGUGAUCCAGUCAGACUGGCAGCCUGGCACCAUUUCUAUCUGCUUUCACAUCUUCAUGAUUGACUUAAGGAUUGGAUUAACUCAAGUUGUGCUCUGUAUUGUUGGUAGUUGCCAGUCUGAGGACAAUGCAAAGCAAUCUGGUUGUCUUUGUGACAGUGGCGCCAGCGAUAAUACCACUUGGAAAUGCUACAGUUGGGGAAAUUGUCUGUUUCCAAUUCUUCUAGUUUUGUGGUAUUAAACUGGCUGACCACUGUGCAGCCGUAUGUAUUCUCUUGUUUGCGCUGGCCAACACCACCUGGCUGGGUGUGAUGAUCCUAAUGAAGAUGUGUUAUAAAUAUUCCACCAACACUGUUCAGCACCAGCGGCAGACACCAGGCAGACAGGUUUCUCAGUUGGUGUCUGGUGAGCUAUUGUCUGGUGUCUCUGGACAGGACAGAAAGAUGAACUGAAAAUCAGUUUGAACUUUGGAAAACAACAGUAUUCUUGCAGAAAGCGCAUUUUUAGCGAUCUGUCUGGCUGUCACACUGUGUUUGUUACUCUACAGUGUUUCAUGAACUGUCUGGCAGUUUUAUUGAAAAAUUGUUGUUUGUAAUCUGGACUGUGGAUAAGCAUUCAUGCACAGUGACGUGCACACACAGUUCUGUAUCAGAGCUCACUGCUUUACAAGUUUUCACUCCCAUCUUCCAAAAGUACAUUCAUGUACAGUGCUGCACAAUUUUAUAAUUUACAAGGUAAAUUUUGAGGUACUUCAACAGUUCCAUUUUCUGCUACUUUAUACUCUACUUCAUUUUGGAGGAAAAUAUUAAACUUUUUACUCCACUAUGUUUAUAAAGGAAGGUUAACUCACGAUCCAUUUCUCUUAUAGACUAAAUGAUUCAAUACACUCGUGUUUUGUCAUGUGUUCUUCUUAUUUGUGUCUCAGAGGAAAACUCCAACUUCCGUUGUCUUUGCACCAUCGGUGUCAACAGUGAAACCACUUGGAAAAUGCAAAGAGGGACAGGUUGUCUGUCGCCACUUUAAGUAAAAGGUCUUCUGAUUGCCACUGGCCAACACAAAGUGUGUGAAAGUAAAUCCAUUUUCACAAAACAAAAACUGAAGCCUAAAAACAAACAAGGAAAGUGAUCGCUCUGUGAAUCACUUGUAUGGAACACUUGAGUUGUGGUUUGGAGCUGUUGCAGACAUUCAGACAGCAGGAGGGACCAGCGAGGGAGGCAGUGAGUGGAGAAACCUCCAGCCAGUCAUAAGACACACGCACACACACACACACACACACACACACACACACACGCACACGCACACGCACACGCACGCACACACACACACACACACACACACACACACACACACACACACACACACACACACUAAUCAGCUGUCCUUCACUUGUAUUGGAAAUGGUAAUUAGUGAAAAUAAUAUUCAGACGACAAGGACUCGUGAUCAGAAUUAAUCUGCCUCAAGUGAAAGACCAAAUAAGAUUCCUUAUGGGGCAGAGCUCGUUUUGGAUUCAUCUGAAGCCCUCCUUAAUCCUCUCAUAGCUACUGGCUUUAGUGGAGCCAUAACCAUAACACUGAGUCACUCAACUGUUCAUUAGCCUCUGAGAGGAAUGUCUGUGUCAUGUGUUAUGACAGAAGAUAACGAGAGCCAGUAUUUUGUGUUUUAUUUUCAUAACCCUCAUUACUAAAGGAUGACAAGUUCAUGGAUCCGGACUGCUUGUACACAGAGAUGCACGCACAGCUGGGAGUUGCAUGGUUUUCAUGCAAGGUUUUCUCACAACACUGACCAAAAUAAAUAUCUUUUAUCAAGUUUACAUCUGUUGCUUUCAACACUGAGUCUAAUCUCAUCGGUAUCUUCAUGUUUAUUUGCAUCCACAAGUGAGUCAUCCAUCAUGUUUGUUUGUCUAUGCAGACCAUCUAUGCAGAUGUCACAAGUGAAUCAGCGUGUGUGUCUGUGUGUGUGCGCACGCAGAGGCUUGUCUACGUCUGCGUGAUGUAUCCAUGUGGUUUUUAUUUUUGACAAGUAAAGCACCGUUGUCUGUGGC